rnacentral:rRNA from 1 species
UUAUGGCUCAGGACGAACGCUGGCGGCGUGCUUAACACAUGCAAGUCGAACGGAAAGGCCCUGCUUUGUGGGGUGCUCGAGUGGCGAACGGGUGAGUAACACGUGAGUAACCUGCCCUUGACUUUGGGAUAACUUCAGGAAACUGGGGCUAAUACCGGAUAGGAGCUCCUGCUGCAUGGUGGGGGUUGGAAAGUUUCGGCGGUUGGGGAUGGACUCGCGGCUUAUCAGCUUGUUGGUGGGGUAGUGGCUUACCAAGGCUUUGACGGGUAGCCGGCCUGAGAGGGUGACCGGCCACAUUGGGACUGAGAUACGGCCCAGACUCCUACGGGAGGCAGCAGUGGGGAAUAUUGCACAAUGGGCGGAAGCCUGAUGCAAGCAACGCCGCGUGCGGGAUGACGGCCUUCGGGUUGUAAACCGCUUUCGCCUGUGACGAAGCGUGAGUGACGGUAAUGGGUAAAGAAGCACCGGCUAACUACGUGCCAGCCGCAGC